UGACAAGUCGAGCGGUAGCACAGAGAGCUUGCUCUCGGGUGACGAGCGGCGGACGGGUGAGUAAUGUCUGGGAAACUGCCUGAUGGAGGGGGAUAACUACUGGAAACGGUAGCUAAUACCGCAUAAUGUCGCAAGACCAAAGUGGGGGACCUUCGGGCCUCAUGCCAUCAGAUGUGCCCAGAUGGGAUUAGCUAGUAGGUGGGGUAACGGCUCACCUAGGCGACGAUCCCUAGCUGGUCUGAGAGGAUGACCAGCCACACUGGAACUGAGACACGGUCCAGACUCCUACGGGAGGCAGCAGUGGGGAAUAUUGCACAAUGGGCGCAAGCCUGAUGCAGCCAUGCCGCGUGUGUGAAGAAGGCCUUCGGGUUGUAAAGCACUUUCAGCGGGGAGGAAGGCGUUGAGGUUAAUAACCUUGGCGAUUGACGUUACCCGCAGAAGAAGCACCGGCUAACUCCGUGCCCAGCAGCCGCGGUAAUACGGAGGGUGCAAGCGUUAAUCGGAAUUACUGGGCGUAAAGCGCACGCAGGCGGUCUGUCAAGUCGGAUGUGAAAUCCCCGGGCUCAACCUGGGAACUGCAUUCGAAACUGGCAGGCUAGAGUCUUGUAGAGGGGGGUAGAAUUCCAGGUGUAGCGGUGAAAUGCGUAGAGAUCUGGAGGAAUACCGGUGGCGAAGGCGGCCCCCUGGACAAAGACUGACGCUCAGGUGCGAAAGCGUGGGGAGCAAACAGGAUUAGAUACCCUGGUAGUCCACGCCGUAAACGAUGUCGAUUUGGAGGUUGUGCCCUUGAGGCGUGGCUUCCGGAGCUAACGCGUUAAAUCGACCGCCUGGGGAGUACGGCCGCAAGGUUAAAACUCAAAUGAAUUGACGGGGGCCCGCACAAGCGGUGGAGCAUGUGGUUUAAUUCGAUGCAACGCGAAGAACCUUACCUGGUCUUGACAUCCACAGAACUUUCCAGAGAUGGAUUGGUGCCUUCGGGAACUGUGAGACAGGUGCUGCAUGGCUGUCGUCAGCUCGUGUUGUGAAAUGUUGGGUUAAGUCCCGCAACGAGCGCAACCCUUAUCCUUUGUUGCCAGCGGUCCGGCCGGGAACUCAAAGGAGACUGCCAGUGAUAAACUGGAGGAAGGUGGGGAUGACGUCAAGUCAUCAUGGCCCUUACGACCAGGGCUACACACGUGCUACAAUGGCAUAUACAAAGAGAAGCGACCUCGCGAGAGCAAGCGGACCUCAUAAAGUAUGUCGUAGUCCGGAUUGGAGUCUGCAACUCGACUCCAUGAAGUCGGAAUCGCUAGUAAUCGUAGAUCAGAAUGCUACGGUGAAUACGUUCCCGGGCCUUGUACACACCGCCCGUCACACCAUGGGAGUGGGUUGCAAAAGAAGUAGGUAGCUUAACCUUCGGGAGGGCGC
rnacentral:rRNA from 1 species